rnacentral:rRNA from 1 species
CAAUAGCGUAUAUUAAAGUUGUUGCGGUUAAAAAGCUCGUAGUUGGAUUUCUGUUGGGAACGACCGGUCCGCCCAUUGGGUGUGUAUCUGGCUUGUUCUCGGCAUCUUCUUGGUGAACGUUGCUGCACUUGACUGUGUGGAGCGCUACCCAGGACUUUUACUUUGAGGAAAUUAGAGUGUUUCAAGCAGGCAUAUGCCUUGAAUACAUUAGCAUGGAAUAAUAAGAUAGGACCUCGGUUCUAUUUUGUUGGUUUCUAGAGCUGAGGUAAUGAUUAAUAGGGAUAGUUGGGGGCAUUCGUAUUUAACUGUCGGAGGUGAAAUUCUUGGAUUUGUUAAAGACGGACUACUGCGAAAGCAUUUGCCAAGGAUGUUUUCAUUGA